CAGUCGCCACGGUAAUACAGAGGGUGCGAGCGUUAAUCGGAUUUACUGGGCGUAAAGCGUGCGUAGGCGGCUUUUUAAGUCGGAUGUGAAAUCCCUGAGCUUAACUUAGGAAUUGCAUUCGAUACUGGGAAGCUAGAGUAUGGGAGAGGAUGGUAGAAUUCCAGGUGUAGCGGUGAAAUGCGUAGAGAUCUGGAGGAAUACCGAUGGCGAAGGCAGCCAUCUGGCCUAAUACUGACGCUGAGGUACGAAAGCAUGGGGAGCAAACAGGAUUAGAUACCCGGGUAGUCCCUGUCUCUUAUCA
rnacentral:rRNA from 1 species